rnacentral:rRNA from 1 species
GGAAAUCUCAUCAGGCCCGGACACUGGAAGGAUUGACAGAUUGAUACCUCUUUCUUGAUUCUGUGGGUGGUGGUGCAUGGCCGUUCUUAGUUGGUGGAGUGAUUUGUCGGCUUAAUUUGACUCAACGCGGGAAAUCUCACCAGGCCCGGACACUGGAAGGAUUGACAGAUUGAUAGCUCUUUCUUGUUAGCAAUAA